rnacentral:rRNA from 1 species
GACGAACCGUGCGAACGUUGUUCGGAAUCACUGGGCUUAAAGGGCGCGUCGGCGGCCGGGUUGGUCGUGGGUGAAAUCCCCCAGCUUAACUGGGGAACUGCCUACGAUACUGCCUGGCUCGAGGGAGGAAGGGGCGGUCGGAACUGUCGGUGGAGCGGUGAAAUGCGUUGAUAUCGACAGGAACGCCGGUGGCGAAAGCGGACCGCUGGCCCUCUUCUGACGCUGAGGCGCGAAAGCCAGGGGAGCGAACGGG